rnacentral:rRNA from 1 species
AUGACGUCAAAUCAUCAUGCCCCUUAUGUCUAGGGCUACACACGUGCUACAAUGGUGAGGACAAAGAGACGCAAGACCGCGAGGUGGAGCAAAUCUCACAAACCUCAUCCCAGUUCGGAUUGCAGGCUGAAACUCGCCUGCAUGAAGCCGGAGUUGCUAGUAAUCGCGAAUCAGCAUGUCGCGGUGAAUACGUUCCCGGGCCUU